CUGUGAUCGGGCUGAAGCCAUUCUUUGCCCGAGUGUCGUGCCGGGGAUUUUAAAUUGCCCCCGUUGCUGGUCUUAGCCUGUGGGGAGCCAGACCAGCUCGCGAUUGAGGCUGGGACCAUUACUACCAGUACGAGUGGACCCGUGGGGCACAAGCCUUCCUGUGUUGAACGGAGGACGUACCAGUGGCCCUGGGACCUUAGGUGGUGGGUCGUUUUCACACUUUCUUUUGUACAGCACCGGGUGGGCUGCAGUGAUUUUCGUUUUGUGUGAUUUUCUUUUGGGUCCACGGCUGCUGUGAACGGAGGACGUACCAGUGGCCCUGGGACCUUAGGUGGUGGGUCGUUUUCACACUUUCUUUUGUACAGCACCGGGUGGGCUGCAGUGAUUUUCGUUUUGUGUGAUUUUCUUUUGGGUCCACGGCUGCUGGUAAGUCCAAGUUCCAUGUUUGUUUUAUUUUCACUUUAGGACACUGUCAACAAUGACGCUACAUCUUGGUUUCUAAAUAUUUUAUUUAUUUUUACUAUAAAUAAAACUGUUUUAAUAUUGGAGCCAACCUGCCUCAGUGUGCAUCCUUGAAUCUGUGCGGCCUCCUUUUAUUCUUUUUUAUCUAUUUUUCUUAAAUAUAUUUCCUGGGGGUGAAAUUCCCCUAGGUGGCGUUGUCAUUUUAUUAUUUCUUUUAUAACCCCGCCGACCACUUGGUCACAUAAGCAUCUGCACAGACGGCAUGCUGAGGCUAAGCUAGCCAAGAACCCAGAGUGAUGUUAAAGCUGAGCCAGCCCAGCAGACACACCUCCGACCUCAACAGGUAACAAAGUGAUGAGCAGUCAGGCUGCAGCCUCUGUUUCUACAUGUUCAGUGAGUCAAAGUAAAAUCACUGAGGUGAUCGCUCUGUGCUGCUUUUCACUUUGGCUUAGUGUUCAUACC
rnacentral:lncRNA from 1 species